rnacentral:misc_RNA from 1 species
GAUGAAGAACGUAGCGAAAUGCGAUAAGUAAUGUGAAUUCAGAAUUCAGUGAAUCAUCGAAUUUUUGAACGCAUAUUGCGCCCUUUGGCAUUCCGAAGGGCAUGCCUGUUCGAGCGUCAUUACACCCCUCAAACCUGUGUUUGAUGUUGGGCACCUGCCGUAAGGGCUUGCCUAAAAGACAGUGACGGUAACCUUAAACCUUAGGCGCACAGAUGCUGCCAUGAAGGCAAAUGGAAGCCGGUCUUAAACCAAAAUUUCUGAAUAUUGACCUCGGAUCAGGUAGGAAUACCCGCUGAACUUAAGCAUAUCAAUAAGCGGAGGA